rnacentral:rRNA from 1 species
CGAGAGGGCGGGUAAUACCGGAUGAUCUCGAGAGAGCGAAGCUCCGGCGUCCCGAGAGGGGCCCACGUGAUAUUAGCUAGUUGGCGGGGUGACGGCCCACCAAGGCGGAGAUGUCUAGCGGGUGUGAGAGCACGACCCGCGCCACUCGCACUGAGACACUGGCGAGACACCUACGGGUGGCUGCAGUCGAGGAUCUUCGGCAAUGCGCGCAAGCGCGACCGAGCGACGCCGCGUGGGCGAUGAAGGCCUUCGGGUUGUAAAGCCCUGUCGAGGGGGAGAAAAGCUCGAAAGAGUGUGAUCUAUCCCUGGAGGAAGCUCGGGCUAAGUUCGUGCCAGCAGCCGCGGUAAGACGAACCGAGCGAACGUUGUUCGGAAUCACUGGGCUUAAAGGGUGCGUAGGCGGGCUGCCAAGUUUGGGGUGAAAUCCUCCGGCUCAACCGGGGAAGUGCCUUGAAUACUGGCGGUCUGGAGGGAGGUAGGGGCGUGCGGAACUAACGGUGGAGCGGUGAAAUGCGUUGAUAUCGUUAGGAACUCCGGUGGCGAAGGCGGCACGCUAGACCUUUUCUGACGCUGAGGCACGAAAGCCAGGGGAGCGAACGGGAUUAGAUACCCCGGUAGUCCUGUCCCUAAACGUUGAGAACUAGGUAGCAGGUCAGACAUGGGCUUGCUGCCGGAGCAAAAGUGCUAAGUUCUCCGCCUG